UGCCAGACUCCUACGGGAGGCAGCAGUGGGGAAUAUUGCACAAUGGGGGAAACCCUGAUGCAGCGACGCCGCGUGAGCGAUGAAGUAUUUCGGUAUGUAAAGCUCUAUCAGCAGGGAAGAAAAUGACGGUACCUGACUAAGAAGCCCCGGCUAACUACGUGCCAGCAGCCGCGGUAAUACGUAGGGGGCAAGCGUUAUCCGGAUUUACUGGGUGUAAAGGGAGCGUAGACGGCAAUGCAAGCCAGAUGUGAAAGCCCGGGGCUCAACCCCGGGACUGCAUUUGGAACUGUGUAGCUGGAGUGUCGGAGAGGCAGGCGGAAUUCCUAGUGUAGCGGUGAAAUGCGUAGAUAUCAGGAGGAACACCGGUGGCGAAGGCGGCCUGCUGGACUGCAACUGACGUUGAGGCCCGAAAGCGUGGGGAGCAAACAGGAUUAGAUACCCUCGUA
rnacentral:rRNA from 1 species